rnacentral:rRNA from 1 species
GAUGAACGCUGGCGGCGUGCUUAAUACAUGCAAGUCGAGCGAACGGACGCGACGCUUGCUUCUCUGAUGUUAGCGGCGGACGGGUGUGUCACACGUGGAUCCCCCCCCUAUAUGACUGGGAUCACUUCGGGACACCGGCGCUAAUCCCGGAUAAUCUUCUGAACCGUGUGGUUCAAAGGUGAAAGACGGUCUUGCUGUCUCUAAUAGAUGGUUCCGCGCUGCAUUAGCUGGUUGGUAGGGUAAAGGCUUUCCUCGGGAACGAUGCGUAGCCGAACGGAGGGGGUGAUCGGCCACAUGGGAACUGAGACACGGUCCAGACGCCUAAGGGAGGCAGCAGAAGGGAAUGUUACGCAAUAGUCGAAAACAUGACGCAGCAAGGCCGCGUGAGUGAUGAAGGCCUUCGGUGCGUAAAAAUCGGUUAUGGGGGGAAAACAGAUUUGGAAGUAAAUGUGCAGAUCUUGACGGUACCUAAUCAGAAAGCCACGGCUAACUACGUG